rnacentral:rRNA from 1 species
GUGGGGAAUAUUGGACAAUGGGGGCAACCCUGAUCCAGCCAUGCCGCGUGUGUGAAGAAGGCCUUCGGGUUGUAAAGCACUUUCAGCGGGGAGGAAGGCAUCAUGGCUAAUAUCCAUGGUGAUUGACGUUACCCGCAGAAGAAGCACCGGCUAACUCUGUGCCAGCAGCCGCGGUAAUACAGAGGGUGCAAGCGUUAAUCGGAAUUACUGGGCGUAAAGCGCACGUAGGCGGUUUGGUAAGCGAGUUGUGAAAUCCCCGGGCUUAACCUGGGAACUGCAUCUCGAACUGCCAGGCUAGAGUAUGGUAGAGGUGAGUGGAAUUUCCUGUGUAGCGGUGAAAUGCGUAGAUAUAGGAAGGAACAUCAGUGGCGAAGGCGGCUCACUGGACUGAUACUGACGCUGAGGUGCGAAAGCGUGGGGAGCAAACAGGAUUAGAAACCCCUGUAGUCC